GACGAACGCUGGCGGCGUGCCUAAUACAUGCAAGUCGAACGCAGUGGGGACGGGUGAGUAACACGUGGGUAACCUCCCAUCAGAGGGGAUAACACUUGGAAACAGGUGCUAAACCGAUACUGAUGGAUGAACCCGCGGUGCAUUAGCUAGUUGGUGAGGUAACGGCUCACCAAGGCCACGAUGCAUAGCCGACCUGGGUGGGGGAUCGGCAAAACUGGGAAUGAGGCACGGCCCAGAAUCCUACGGGAGGCAGCAGUAGGGAAUCUUCGGCCAUGGACGGAAGGCUGACCGAGCAACGCCGCGUGAGGGAAGAAGGUUUUCGGGUCGGAAAACUCUGUUGUUAGAGAAACGGGUUCCAACCAGAAAGCCACGGCUAAAUACGUGCCAGCAGCCGCGGUAAUAC
rnacentral:rRNA from 1 species